AACGAACGCUGGCGGCAUGCCUAACACAUGCAAGUCGAACGAGACCUUCGGGUCUAGUGGCGCACGGGUGCGUAACGCGUGGGAACCUGCCCUUAGGUUCGGAAUAACUCCCCGACAGGGGUGCUAAUACCGGAUAAUGUCUUCGGCCCAAAGAUUUAUCGCCUUUGGAUGGGCCCGCGUUGGAUUCGCUUGUUGGUAGGGUAAAAGCCUACCACGGCGACGAUCCAUAGCUGGUCUGCGAGGAUGAUCAGCCACACUGGGACUGAGACACGGCCCAGACUCCUACGGGAGGCAGCAGUGGGGAAUAGUGGACAAUGGGCGAAAGCCUGAUCCAGCAAUGCCGCGUGAGUGAUGAAGGCCUUAGGGUUGUAAAGCGCUUUUACCCGGGAUGAUAAUGACAGUACCGGGAGAAUAAGCUCCGGCUAACUCCGUG
rnacentral:rRNA from 1 species